GCACACGUUGAGUAUAACACGAUACAUCACAAGCUGUCAUUGACGUACAUGAUAAGCGUAUAAAAAUAGUUAAAAUCAUACAGGCAAGAAAAGUGGUUGUCACGAUGAAAAACAACAGGGAUUGGUUCGUUGGAUUUACUGGUCAAGCGAUACCCAGCAGGAACCUGCACUAUUACAAGAUGGACGUGUCUUGUUCUGGAAAGGAACAGUCGAUCAACGAAUGCAAGGGUGACCUUCAAUACUGCGUGACACAAAGAUACUAUCAUUGCACGACGAUGUCUAACAUGAAUAGACAUGUGGCUCUGUUUUGCUAAGAUUACGAAUUGCAAGACUUAAGCCUCGAUCCGGACGGCAUUCUUCUGAUGACUGUAAACUUAAAAAAAUGGGCCGUGUGUGCGGACCAUUUUACACAACAAACAGCGAACGCAGCAUGCAGAAUUUUGGGAUACACAGGUCACACUUCAUUCUCUACCCACACAGCUGGCGCAAAUGACACAGAGGUGUUAGGGUCGCUGAUUUGCCGGGAAAAUGCCGCAAGACUCGUGGACUGUCAUCUGAAGCACCAGUUCAGUUACCGGCCAUACCGCGUUGACGCCGCGUGUACAAAUCACGUGAAACUGGCGUGUACAAGCUUAUUUAAAUAGUUUAAUUAGCGCAAUAGACACACAGCCACUUCUUUUUUUAAACAUAAUGGCACAUGAAACAGGUCUUUUUUAUCAACUAAACCUUUGUGUAUAAUUUAAAACUUUGCCUCACGCAACGCAUAUAGCUAGCUGUUUCUCUUCCAAUGAAUAACAACUGUUAUUUUAAUAUGCAUGUAUAUAUAUGAAAGUGGUUAAAAUAUGUGGUCUUAAAUGUCGGCGCUAUUUUAUAAGCAUUUUCAAUCAAUGCCAUGUUUCGAUUGCAA